GUUCGUAUUAGGGUAUAUGUUAAUGUUUAGUGAUUGUGUAGGGAAUACUGUGUAGUGUAAGGGUUAACAGUUCGUGUUAGGGUAUAGUUUAAUGUUUAGUGAUUGUGUAGGGAAUACUGUGUAGAGUAAGGGUUAACAGUUCGUAUUAGGGUAUAUGUUAAUGUUUAGUGAUCGUGUAGGGAAUACUGUGUAGUGUAAGGGUUAGCAGU